rnacentral:tRNA from 1 species
GCGCCUGUAGCUCAAAGGAUAGAGCGAUUCCCUUCUAAGGAAUAGGUUGGGGGUUCGAGUCCUCCCAGGCGCG